rnacentral:rRNA from 1 species
UGGGGAAUUUUGGACAAUGGGGGCAACCCUGAUCCAGCAAUGCCGCGUGUGUGAAGAAGGCCUUCGGGUUGUAAAGCACUUUUGUCCGGAAAGAAAUCCUCUGGGUUAAUACCCCGGGGGGAUGACGGUACGGGAAGAAUAAGCACCGGCUAACUACGUGCCAGCAGCCGCGGUAAUACGUAGGGUGCGAGCGUUAAUCGGAAUUACUGGGCGUAAAGCGUGCGCAGGCGGUCCGCUAAGACCGAUGUGAAAUCCCCGGGCUUAACCUGGGAACUGCAUUGGUGACUGGCGGGCUAGAGUGUGGCAGAGGGGGGUAGAAUUCCACGUGUAGCAGUGAAAUGCGUAGAGAUCAGGAGGAACAUCCGUGGCGAAGGCGGCCAUCUGGACCAGCACUGACACUGAGGCACGAAAGCGUGGGGAGCAAAC